UACAACUUCUCCGUAAGAAAUAGACACACUAGAUUCAUACACCUACCUUUGAAAAAUAUCAAUUUUUUGGCCAUAGGUGCUGAGUCCAAUGCGUAGAAUCUUCUAGAACCAUCUAUGACUUCAGCACCAAGGGAAAGGAGGGGCAGAGGAAGAGGCACAAUAAUGCCCAACUAUGGAUGUGGGAGGAGACCUUUAUGAACUCUAGGUCUGAUGUGUAGUCUUGGCAGAAAGAAACCACAAUGCAUAUACUUUUCAUCUUGCAAGAUGUAGCACUCAUGAUCAUAAUAAUGUAUCCUUUUGAAAUUA